rnacentral:tRNA from 1 species
GCAUUGGUGGUUCAGUGGUAAAACUCUCAAUUCCCACGCAGGAGACCUGGGUUUGAUUCCUGGUCAGUGCA